rnacentral:rRNA from 1 species
UACGUAGGGUCCGAGCGUUGUCCGGAAUUAUUGGGCGUAAAGGGCGCGUAGGCGGCCAUUCAAGUGACGGGUGAAAGCCCUCGGCUUAACCGAGGAACUGCCUGUCAGACUGGAUGGCUUGAGACCGGGAGAGGUGAGUGGAAUUCCCAGUGUAGCGGUGAAAUGCGUAGAUAUUGGGAGGAACACCAGUGGCGAAGGCGGCUCACUGGACCGGAACUGACGCUGAGGCGCGAAAGCGUGGGGAGCAAACAGG